rnacentral:rRNA from 1 species
AUGAACGCUAGCUACAGGCUUAACACAUGCAAGUCGAGGGGCAGCAUGGUCUUAGCUUGCUAAGGCCGAUGGCGACCGGCGCACGGGUGAGUAACGCGUAUCCAACCUGCCUUACACUCUUGGACAGCCUUCUGAAAGGGAGAUUAAUACAAGAUGUUAUCAUGAGUAAGCAUUUUCGCAUGAUUAAAGGUUUACCGGUGUAAGAUGGGGGUGCGUUCCAUUAGAUAGUAGGCGGGGUAACGGCCCACCUAGUCUUCGAUGGAUAGGGGUUCUGAGAGGAAGGUCCCCCACAUUGGAACUGAGACACGGUCCAAACUCCUACGGGAGGCAGCAGUGAGGAAUAUUGGUCAAUGGACGAGAGUCUGAACCAGCCAAGUAGCGUGAAGGAUGAAGGUUCUAUGGAUUGUAAACUUCUUUUAUACGGGAAUAAACGAAUCCACGUGUGGAUUUUUGCAUGUACCGUAUGAAUAAGGAUCGGCUAACUCCGUGCCAGCAGCCGCGGUAAUACGGAGGAUCCGAGCGUUAUCCGGAUUUAUUGGGUUUAAAGGGAGCGUAGAUGGGUUGUUAAGUCAAUUGUGAAAGUUUGCGGCUCAACCGUAAAAUUGCAAUUGAUACUGGCAGUCUUGAGUACAGUUGAGGUAGGCGGAAUUCGUGGUGUAGCGGUGAAAUGCUUAGAUAUCACGAAGAACUCCGAUUGCGAAGGCAGCUUACUAACCUGUAACUGACAUUGAUGCUCGAAAGUGUGGGUAUCAAACAGGAUUAGAUACCCUGGUAGUCCACACGGUAAACGAUGAAUACUCGCUGUAGGCGAUAUACAGUCUGCGGCCAAGCGAAAGCAUUAAGUAUUCCACCUGGGGAGUACGCCGGCAACGGUGAAACUCAAAGGAAUUGACGGGGGCCCGCACAAGCGGAGGAACAUGUGGUUUAAUUCGAUGAUACGCGAGGAACCUUACCCGGGCUUAAAUUGCAACCGAAUAUGGCGGAAACGCUAUAGCUAGCAAUAGCGGUUGUGAAGGUGCUGCAUGGUUGUCGUCAGCUCGUGCCGUGAGGUGUCGGCUUAAGUGCCAUAACGAGCGCAACCCUUGCCGAUAGUUACUAACAGGUUAUGCUGAGGACUCUGUCGGGACUGCCAUCGUAAGAUGUGAGGAAGGUGGGGAUGACGUCAAAUCAGCACGGCCCUUACGUCCGGGGCUACACACGUGUUACAAUGGGGGGUACAGAGGGCUGCUACCACGCAAGUGGAUGCCAAUCCCAAAAACCUCUCUCAGUUCGGAUUGAAGUCUGCAACCCGACUUCAUGAAGCUGGAUUCGCUAGUAAUCGCGCAUCAGCCACGGCGCGGUGAAUACGUUCCCGGGCCUUGUACACACCGCCCGUCAAGCCAUGGGAGCCGGGGGUACCUGAAGUGCGUAACCGCAAGGAGCGCCCUAGGGUAAAACUGGUGACUGGGGCU